rnacentral:rRNA from 1 species
GCUGUUGUCUUCCGCCUUUCAUUAAGUUCUUUAUAGAAACGUUCGGCCAGUUUGCUAUGGAUUUGGCCAAUUGGCUUUACAACUAGAUCCGUAGCUCAGGUGGUUAGAGCGCUACACUGAUAAUGUAGAGGUCCCCAGUUCAAGUCUGGGCGGGUCUACAAAAUAGGAGGGGGGUUAGCUCAGUUGGCUAGAGCACCUGCCUUGCACGCAGGGGGUCAUCGGUUCGACUCCGAUAUCCUCCACUACAACAGUUCUUUUUAUUGAUGUGGACGAAAGGUCUGAUGAUUCGUAAUCAUGGCAUCAACAGAUCAUUGGCAUGUUCAGUGCGCUGGUAAAGUUCUUUGACAUAUUGGGAUGUAACAAGUUGUAUUAGAAAAGGCGAUUUAGUAUCAUAAACUCUUUUAAAGCGAAUAAGGGCGUAUGGAAGGAUGCCUUGGGUCUGAUAGGCGAUGAAGGACGUGGUAAGCUGCGAUAAGCUACGGGGAGCUGCACACAAGCGUUAGAUCCGUAGAUUUCCGAAUGGGACAACCCGGCACACUGAAGGUGUGUCACCCGCCGUAAGGCGGGAGCCAACCUCCUGAACUGAAACAUCUAAGUAGGGAGAGGAAAAGAAAACAAUAGUGAUUCCCUGAGCAGCGGCGAGCGAACAAAAGG